rnacentral:rRNA from 1 species
CCUACGGGUGGCAGCAGUGAGGAAUAUUAGUCAAUGGACGCAAGUCUGAACCAGCCAAGCCGCGUGCAGGAAGACGGCUCCAUGAGUUGUAAACUUCUUUUGUACGAGGAUAAACGCAGAUACGCGUAUCUGUCUGAAAGUAUCGUACGAAUAAGGAUCGGCUAACUCCGUGCCAGCAGCCGCGGUAAUACGGAGGAUUCAAGCGUUAUCCGGAUUUAUUGGGUUUAAAGGGUGCGUAGGCGGUCGGUUAAGUUAGAGGUUAAAUCCCGAGGCUCAACUCCGGAAUUGCCGCUGAUACUGGCUGUCUAGAGAGUAGGUGAGGUAGGCGGAAUGUGUGGUGUAGCGGUGAAAUGCUUAGAGAU